ensembl:lncRNA
GUCACAUUAAAUAUUCAUAAUAUAGGAAAACCUUGGAAUUUUUGCCAGCCUGGAAUAUAAUCCAUGAAGAAUCCAUGCUUUUUUGGCUGGUAAAUAUAUAUAUGUAAUCAAAUGUUUUAUAUGUAUAUAUAUGUGUAUACACAUACACACACAUAUAGAAUAUCAUCAUAUAUAUACAUACAUAUGCAUCCAAGUUCCUGUUAUAUAUAUAUGUAUAGAUACACAUAUAUAUGUGUGUAUCUAUGUAAAUAUAACUAAACGGGAGGAGCUUGGAUUCUACCUGAUUCACCUAGCUUUUUUUCUUGCUCCCUAGCUUGACACAUCUGCAUGUCAAUCAAAGAACAUCUUGGGAGUUUGUGGGACUUGGAACCUCAGAACCAUGCACACAUAUCUGAUGGAGACUGUUAGGCACUCCCCAAAAUGAGUUUGGGGAUAUAAGCUCACACUCCAGGCACUGAUGGCAAUUUCAAAAAAUUUUCAAAAGACUGCUAGUGACCCUGUUUUCUGGGAGCAGGGAUCCUGAGCUACCAUAGUUAGCCAGGCAAUCAACAAAAGCCAUCAGAAUGUUACUAACUAAGAUUGGCUUUUUUUUUAAAUCCCUGGUCCUGAAGGAAAGCCACCUCUGGGGCAGGAAGAGCAAGACUGAAAGGAGGGGAGCAAAACCUCAGGCCAAGCCAGAUCAAGACCGAAAGCUUUUCAUGGAGAUGCCACAUACAGGGCACUUAGGAAGAUGGGACCUGGAUGGAGGUUUCAGCUAGAAAGUUCUGGCACAUUCACAGUAUCUGGCCCUCUGGCCCAGCCCAUCCGGGCCUGGGUGGGGGAAGACGUCCAGCUCUCCUGUCACCUCUCCCCUAAGAUGGAUGCUCGGGGAAUGGGUGUGAAGUGGGUCAGAGGCUCACUGGUUGUGCACAUGUACCACAUGGAUGGAGGAAGUCCAAGCCCCUGCAUUCCAAGGGAGGACAAAGAUGCUGAGAGAGGACAUGGCUGAGGGGAAGGUGACCGUGAUCAUCCAUCAGGUCCAGUUCUCUGACUCUGGCCAGCACACACGUUAUUUCCAGACAGGCCCCUUUUACAAUGAAGCCAGCUUUGACCUUCAGGUACCAGAACACCAGAAAGGAGCAUUCUCAGUGACUGGCCUUGCUCAGCUCAUUCAGGCCAAGCAGGAGGAAAACGUCACACUCUCCUGUCAACACUACCCUAAAAUGGAUGCUCGGGCCAUGACUGUGAACUGGUUCAGAAACCAGGCCCCACUGGGGAGAAGCUGGAGGAAUCCCAGGGCACUAGGGAAGAUGGAGCUGCUGAAACGUGACAUGGCUGAGGGGAAGGUGACCUUGAGGAUCCAGCAGGUCCAGGUCUCGACUCUGGUCAAUACACUUGUCGUGUCCAGUCACCUGACAAUUAUGAUGAAGCCCACAUUGAACUGCAGGUAGCAGGAUCCUUCAGGCUUGGGGUUUCCUACUAGAAGAUGAUGGAGGCCUUCUCUCUCUCCUGGAACACAAAAAUGGGGAUGAUUUUAUUCUCUCUUUCAAAGAUGCCAGGACUCAGCUGGCCCUCAAAAGCCACAUACUGAGUGGUGUAUGAAGAGUCUGAGGCCUUCUUGACUGUCAUCUGCUUGACUUCCCUCAUCAUUGGCCUAGUGACAAAUGUUUUCUAGAUGCCUUCUCCAUGCCCAGCCCUGUGCUAGGUGAGGAUGUAGGGAAGAGAAGGGAAGAAGACCUGGCCUUAUGUCUUGAUGGAGCUGGAGAGAUAUGAUACUUAAACUGAUUAAAAAUAAUUAGUGUAUGGCAGACUGAAAGGGAGUGUGGUAGAGUGGGUGGAGUGCUGGACUUGGAGACAGGAAGAACUGGGUCCAGAUGAUGCCUCUGACUCUUAUUCUCUGUGCAAGUCACUGAAACCCUCUGUGCCAACUUCAUUACAAAAGACCUUUCUAGCUGUUCCCAUACUGACAGAGUGUGUAUUGUAUUAAGGCAUAUACCUGGAUCCUGAGUAGUCCCAAUUUAGUGUAUUUCAGUUUAUAUUAAUUGAAUUCAUAAUUAUGUAAUAUAUGGUCAUUGGUUCCAACCCAAUGGAACUAUGCAGUGGGAUUUCAAAUAAUGCAACCAUUUUAGGAAAUUCCUUCAUCAAACUAAUCUGGACCUCUCUCUAUAAUGAAGUGAUAGAUCAUUUGGGACAUAGCUUAGUUUGAAGAGGAUAAAAUAGCCAUAGAAAAAAUCCACUGAUCACCUCCUGAAAGAGAUCCCAAAUUGAAAAUACCAAGGAAUAUAGUAGCCAAAUUCCAAAAUUACCAGGUCAAAGAGAAAAUACUGCAAGCAACCACAAAGAAACAAUUUAAAUAUCAUGGAACCAUAGUCAGGAUUAUGUAGGGCCUUGCAGCUUCUACAUUAACAGCUCAUAGGGCAUGCAAUAUGAUAUUCUGUGAGGCAAAGGAGCUUGGAUUACAACCAAGUAAAGGUAAAAGGCUGGAGUAGAAUAUAUUAUGCUUCAGCUGAAGUUAAAAAAAGCAGGGGUAGCAAUCCUGAUUUCAGACAAAGCAAAAACAAAAAUAGACUUUAUCAAAAGAGAUAAAGAAGAAACUACAUCCUACUAAAAGGCACCAUAGACAAUGAAGUAAUAUCAUUACUAAACAUAUAUGCACCAAAUAGUAUAGCAUCCACAUUCUUAGAGGAGAAGUUCAGGGAGUUACAGGAAGAAAUAGACAGCAAAAUUAUACUAGUGGGGGACCUCAACCUUCGGAGCUAGAUAAAUCUAACCACAAAAUAAACAAGAAGGAAAUUAAGGAGGUCGAUAGAAU